rnacentral:misc_RNA from 1 species
GAUGAAGAACGUAGCGAAAUGCGAUACGUAAUGUGAAUUGCAGAAUUCAGUGAAUCAUCGAGUCUUUGAACGCACAUUGCGCCCGCCAGUAUUCUGGCGGGCAUGCCUGUUCGAGCGUCAUUUCAACCAUCAAGCCCCAGGCUUGUGUUGGGGACCUGCGGCUGCCGCAGGCCCUGAAAACCAGUGGCGGGCUCGCUGUCACACCGGGCGUAGUAGAUUUUAUCUCGCUCAGGGCGUGCUGCGGGUUCCGGCCGUUAAAAAGCCUUUUUUACCCAAGGUUGACCUCGGAUCAGGUAGGAAGACCCGCUGAAAUUAAGCAUAUCAAUAAGCGGAGGA